UAUAGUUUAGGGGUAUAUUUGGUACUUUCCCCAAAAAGUAAUAAGCAUUGACAUUUGACCACCCAACAUUUGACGCAUGCGGGUUAACUUUUCCAUGGGGAAAGGCAAAAGCAACGUUGGACAGUAGACAAAUGUAAGAAAAAACUCAGGUGAUCGAUUAUUUUCGGAAAGAGAUCCAGUACCUAUAAUGGGAGUUGACUUAUUCGGAAAGAAAUAUUCUUCCAGUCCAAAUUUAUAUAUUUACUAAUUACAUAAAAAGUGUACUAUAAUUUUACUUAUUCAUAAUAUAUGAAAAAAAAGUUAGAAAAAAUCAUAAUAAUAAAAAAUAAAUAAAUUAACAUAUAGGUCAAUCCUCGUAUAUAAAUUGGCACAACGAUAGGUGAUUAUUUUUUAGAAAAUGAGAUUUUGACCUCUUACCUUUUUCACAUAUCUUACGUGAAAAAAAAAUGAAGAUCUCGUAAAAUUAAAAAAAAGUUUCUAAAGGUAAAAAAAGAGACCCAAUACCCACCCACCACAUGUCAAAUAGAGCAUUCUCCUCGCCUAUCUGUCCUCCAAUUUUCCUUUUCAGCCAAAAAACCAGACAACACAAAGACCUCUUCUCCUCGCUCGACUAAGGAGGGAUUUGUCAGAUCUCUUUGGUCGAGCACUACUACAAUGUCGUGCGAAAAGAUAGAUGGUAUUGCGAGGUGGUUCGGGACGAGUGUCGCCUCGGCAUUCUUCGCAUCGUUGGAGCGAUGCGCAUGUGUGAAUCUGACAACAUAUGCAUCUGAUGAUGAGGAAGAAGAAGAAGCUAAAGAUAGGCCUUUGUUUAUGAACAAUUUGCCUUCUCAUGUUGAUCCUUGUCCUCAGGCUCACAAUUCUACCUCCGUUGUCAACCUCCCUGUUUGAUCACCCUCAAGGAACUGGCAUCACCAACUUCGUCAUAUUAAUCCCCUGACUCCAAACAGAGGAAAUGGAAAUGUAAUUCUGGUAUUAACUGUAAUAUUUUCUUUUUGUCCUUAUUAUAGACUGAUUUUUCCCAUGAAGUGUUGUAUGAGGUGUUUGUCCGUCGGCAGUUUUGUUACAAGGUCAAACAUUUAAGCACGAACAAGCUGCCUUUUAUUGUUCCUUUACCGCGAUAUUCUUUACCAA